GUUGUCAGCGCUGCUUGUUUAUUUUGCAUAGAGGAGGUUGGUGUUCUUAUUGAAGAACCCUUCGCAAUGCUUGCUCUUGACGAACUUUGCAAGCAGGUUCAUAGAAAUAUCCAAGAAGCAAUGGCAAACGAAAAAAGGAUUCAAGUACAAGUCAACAUGAAAAGAAAGAGACAUUUUAAGCACAGUUCGAAUGGAUGGCCUUCCUUUUCUGAAGACAGAGAACUUGGUUGAAGAGGUUUUUCGAGCAUUUUUGGUUGAAUGUACAUAGUUGUAAACAUCAGUUCCCCUUAUAGUAUGUAUAUAUGCCAAAUUCUGGUUCUAUCACAGUUUCCGAGGUUUAGAAUUUCUUUGAACUAACGCGGUCGUUUCCUCUUAGUUCAGCUAAUAUGGAUGCAUCAGUUAGAGCUCUGAGAUACUUGCAAUUUACCCCGUAGAAAUCUUGCCAGAUGUAACUCGAAAAGGCACAUCGCGUGUAAAACUUGAGGAUGAUGCUCAGGCCAUCUUGUGGUCCUGGUUGAUGUGCUCGUCUUUGGUUUUAAUAUAUUUGUAAUCUUGACCAA